ensembl:lncRNA
GAGUACUGUGUGUUACCUAGGGGAACUGUUUGCAAUGCAUAAUAACCCUAAGGAAAAGGAGUUGCCACGCUUAUGUAAUUAGACAUCUAGAAAUGAAGGUAGGCUACUCCCCCCUCUGCCAUAAGGUAUUGCGCCAUUUACUCAUUCAGUCACCUGUGAAGGCUGCCUGGUACAGUGGUUCAGGUUGUGCACUGCACAAUCUAAAGAGCUCAGUUCCUACAGACAACAUUGAAACUUUGAGGUUUAUAACCUGCACAGUUGUGUGAAAUACAUUAAGUCCUGGGGUUGGGGACAGGAAAGCAGGAAGAUACAACCCUAUGUACAUAACAUAAAGAUAUCUGCAUAUAAAGUGAUAAUGUACAAUACCACUAUCACUGAAUUUUGAGCACAACUUUUAUGACUUGAAAUUUGAGUGUGACAGUCAUCUUCUGGAUCUGAUGCUGGGUCACCCAGGUCUUGUAGAGGAGAGACUUAGACUUCUUCUCCGUAGAAUUAUAUCUCCAGCUUUGUCUUACUUCUGGCUCCUUCCUGUAGGUGCUGACUUUCCCGUAUGUAUUACUCAGACCUAGUAUCUCUCCUGCUUUGUCUGUGGCAGAGCCUGGCUGUCCCCUGGCUUCAGCCAUGCUAGCUUGGUUCACAUGCUCUUCCUGAGGCAAGUCUUCCUGAGGCUCACUCCAGGGGUCUACCCCUCAUUUCAGCUUCAUUACUCCCGCCUGGAUGCUGACAGCUGGCGGUGGUCUCGCCCCAUUAUGUGGCAGAGCGAGGAUGUGAAGAGGUUAAAUACUUGGAUGAGGCCGCCUCGGCUGAAAAGUUUUCCACAUCUUCUCUUUGGAGAGUUUCUUUAGAGCUUGGAUUCAGCCUUCUGUUGUUUCUUCAAGCCUGAGACCCUUCCCCUUUGGGGAAUCAAUAUGAAUUUGGGAAACAGACAAAGAUCACCGGAAGAAGGGGUGUAGUCAAUCAGAGUAUGGUGUGGCUGUAGAAAUGGAAGCUGGUAUUUUAUUUUCAUAUGCCCCAUAACCUGUCAGAAAUUAUGUAUUUUCUCCAUUUAGAAUGGAGACAAAACCGAGAGCCCCGCUUCAAAAUACCUGACCACCUCUUAUCACAAUGGCCAAGAUCAUGCAAGGAGGAGUUCUAGAUUGAAGAAACAAAAGAGAUAAGACAACUAAAUGCCCUGGUGGGAUCUUAGAUUGGAUCCUGAGGCAGAAAGAGGAGGCUAGAGAAAAACUGACAAAAGUCAAAUGAUAGCUAGCCUUUGGGGAAUAGCCUUGUUCUAACGUUAAAUUCCUGGUUUUGAUCCUUGUACUGUGGUUCUGUGUGUCGUUAACAUCAGGGGAAGCUGGCUGAAGGGUAUGGAUGAAUGCUGUAGGAUUUUUGCAGCUUCUUUGCAAGCCUAAUAGAUUUUCAACUAAAAAGAAAUGUGGGCAGGGCACCCCACCUGGAAAAAAAUGAAAUGCAACGUCCUCUCAUGUGAAAUCCCUUUGCCUGCCAGUGUCUUGUACAUUUGCAGGGACAAUGUGUCACCAUCUCGUGAACCCAGAGCAUUUUGCUGCCACUGACUCCUCUGGUUUCAGAAGAACUAGUCCACGUGAUGGAAUCUGUCCCAAUAACCUAUAUUCAUCCUCUGUUUUCAUUUUCCACCGUGGCAUCUCUGGUGUCAAUACACUUCCACUGCCCGACCUCACUGUCAGACUUGUUUUCCUGGUUUCCCACGAUGGGCCACUCAAUAGACCCCUUUCCUCCCAGAAGCCCUCAAACAGUGGCCCUGCUGGGACCAGCUUCCAGCCAUGGGUGGGUACCCCGGUCCAUAGGCUCCAGCCCAAUCUGCCCUCAGCCCAGCCCAUCAGCUAGCAGACAGCAGCUGGGAAACUAGAAUUUCAGAUGCAUGCGCGUGAAAAGCGAUAUUGCUGGAUGGAGUGUGUAACUUCCCAAGGAGGUGGUUUCGAAACGCAAUAUGCUUUAUUUAACACGUGUGGGUGCACCUAUUGCAAACACAAUUUUCCCACACCAUGGUUUUGUGUGAUGUCAGUGGCAUUAAAUUUGAUUUCUGGUCAAAGUCAAUAUAACCCCGUUAAAAGAGCUGGAUAAAGACACAUUUUAUUCAACUCAAAGCCAUUUGUGAAAUACCACCAUGCUAGGUAGUGGUGGCACAAAGCUGAUAAAGAGAUGGUCUGUGUCCUUGAGCAGCCCAGUAUGUGGCAUGAUGAGAUGCCACACCACGAAGUUUAAUGCGAAAGCAGGAAGGAGGGAGGGGAGGAGGGAGGGAGAGGUUUUUGGGCAAGAUCACCUUUUUUUUUUCUCCUGGCACAACAAAAGGGCAUUUGAUAGAUGCUGGGCCGAAUAUCAGUGACGUUGGAAGGAGGAGAUUGUCUCUGCAUCUCUCUUCCUGACACGCAGUACUUGGAAUAGCAGCUCCCAUUUCUCUCUACAGUUCAUCCUUUUCAAAGUCCUUCUGCUGGCCAUGCAUGCAGGUCACCUGCUGAGUGAUACACUCCCCUGGACAUGACCGGACACUGACUCUGCUAUAUGCUUGCCCGUCGUCUGGGGCACUUCGGUCAAACUUCCCAACCCCAAAGCCUCCACCUGUCCAUCCUGAGAUCCCAAUUCGGUAGGACGAAGGGGCAAGCCCUUCUCAGCCUCUGAUUCAUUUCAGGAUUGGACGUUCUCCAGUCACCCUUUCGCCGGAAGGUGUGUGUUGCUCCGGGCACUUCCCGAGAGCAAAAUGGAGUGGGCAAUAGAUAGGACCAGUGCCACCCUGUUGUACAACCCCAGGGGGCGCCAGGCUCUCAGAAUACAAUGUGAGCAUUGCCUUCUAUGCUGAAGCCUCAUAGACCUGGGUCGUAGUGACAGGGUAGAUUACAAUCUAGGGGGUGACCUGUGUCCGAUGUCGUACCUGGUACCCAUUAGGCCUGAUUAGUAAGAUGCUCAGGGAGCUGAGAUUCUGUUGCAGGGAUGUUGGAACCACUUCAGAAGCUAGAGGAACUCCCAGAGCCCCCCAAGCCACAGAGAGCCCCCAACAGGUGGGCUGAGGCGUCACCUGGGAGCUCUAAGCCCCUGCAGGCCAACCGCUCAGACCUUGCUCAUCCUCCUCUGUCAGCAUUUUGUGUCCACUGCGCAGCUGAGGAGUGAUGAUGAAUAUUCAUCCCCGGGCUGUGCCAGAGUCGCUUGACUCUCUGCAUAUGCAAAAUCAGAACUUAGUUGGACCGGCUGGGAGGGACGUUUCCCCCAAAGCAAACAUCCAAUAGAGGAGGUUGAAUGGGUGGGGAAAAUAAAGCUGGUGAUGGAAAAUGGGAGGAAUGUGGCCGACAUGGCUUCCAUUUCUGCAGCCGCUUGCAAGAGGCCAUCCCAGGGGAAGGAACCUUUGGACCAAGAGAGGAACACAGUCUUGGCCUGGAGACGGGUCACGUAGAGCUCCUGCUCACUCAUUCCUUUGCCCUCUACCCUCUCCCAUCAGGCAGAAGGAGAAAAGGAGAACAAAGAGCCCCCCUGCCUAGAGGCGAUUCCAAGUGGGCUGGAUAACUCCAUGCAUACAGCAGCACAUCCACCCUUGAACCGCAUGGGUCCUCACUGAGUCCCUACUCUAGGCUAAAUGCCUUGCGUUUUUUAUCUCCUGCAGUCCUCACAAUGACCCUGCCAGGGCAGCUACUCUUGUCUCCAUUUUACAGAUGAAGACACUGAGGCUCGGGGAAUUCCCUUGUGGCACAGUGGGUUAAGGCUCCAGCCUCGUCAUUGCAGCGAUGCAGGUGGUUGCUAUGGCACAGGGUCGAUUCCUGGCCUGGGAACUUCCACACAUGGCUGCGGGUGUGGCCAAAAAUAAAAA